rnacentral:rRNA from 1 species
GUGGUAAUGCCGGAUGCUCCGACAUGACGCAUGUCGUGUCGGGAAAGAUUCAUCGGUAUGGGAUGGGGUCGCGUCCUAUCAGCUUGAUGGCGGGGUAACGGCCCACCAUGGCUUCGACGGGUAGCCGGCCUGAGAGGGCGACCGGCCACAUUGGGACUGAGAUACGGCCCAGACUCCUACGGGAGGCAGCAGUGGGGAAUAUUGCACAAUGGGCGCAAGCCUGAUGCAGCGACGCCGCGUGCGGGAUGACGGCCUUCGGGUUGUAAACCGCUUUUGACUGGGAGCAAGCCCUUCGGGGUGAGUGUACCUUUCGAAUAAGCACCGGCUAACUACGUGCCAGCAGCCGCGGUAAUACGUAGGGUGCAAGCGUUAUCCGGAAUUAUUGGGCGUAAAGGGCUCGUAGGCGGUUCGUCGCGUCCGGUGUGAAAGUCCAUCGCUUAACGGUGGAUCCGCGCCGGGUACGGGCGGGCUUGAGUGCGGUAGGGGAGACUGGAAUUCCCGGUGUAACGGUGGAAUGUGUAGAUAUCGGAAAGAACACC